UCGACGGGCCGUCCGGGUUGCUGUGAGGGGAGAGGAGAAACGAACAACCCGAUGGUGUAAAGGGGCAAGGGGAUUCUGGUGGUUCUGGAGUAAGCGAGGUGGUGAUUACCGGCUUCGUUGAAGUCUAUGCUAGCGUCGCUCUUCAAGAAGUCGGACUGUUUCUCGUCGCCAAAAUCGAGAACAAGGAUUUCCUGAGACAACGUCAUAUCCUCCGCUUUCUCCUC